rnacentral:rRNA from 1 species
UUGGCUCAGGAUGAACGCUGGCGGCGUGCCUAAUACAUGCAAGUCGAACGAAGCUUUCUUUCACCGAAUGCUUGCAUUCACCGAAAGAAGCUUAGUGGCGAACGGGUGAGUAACACGUAGGCAACCUGCCCAAAAGAGGGGGAUAACACUUGGAAACAGGUGCUAAUACCGCAUAACCAUGAACACCGCAUGAUGUUCAUGUAAAAGACGGCUUUUGCUGUCACUUUUGGAUGGGCCUGCGGCGUAUUAACUUGUUGGUGGGGUAACGGCCUACCAAGGUGAUGAUACGUAGCCGAACUGAGAGGUUGAUCGGCCACAUUGGGACUGAGACACGGCCCAAACUCCUACGGGAGGCAGCAGUGGGGAAUA